UACGGGGGGAGCAAGCGUUGUUCGGAAUCACUGGGCGUAAAGAGCUCGUAGGCGGCUGUUCAAGUCGAACGUGAAAACUCGGAGCUCAACUCCGAGCCUGCGUUCGAUACUGGACGGCUAGAGUCUGGUAGGGGGAUCUGGAAUUCCUGGUGUAGCGGUGGAAUGCGCAGAUAUCAGGAGGAACACCGGUGGCGAAGGCGGGAUCCUGGGCCAGUACUGACGCUGAGGAGCGAAAGCGUGGGGAGCGAACGGG
rnacentral:rRNA from 1 species